UACGGGGGGGGCAAGCGUUGUUCGGAAUUACUGGGCGUAAAGGGCGCGUAGGCGGCACUGUUAGUCAGGCGUGAAAGUCCUGGGCUCAACCUGGGAACUGCGCUUGAUACGGCAGAGCUAGAGGAUGGAAGAGGGUCGCGGAAUUCCCAGUGUAGAGGUGAAAUUCGUAGAUAUUGGGAAGAACACCGGUGGCGAAGGCGGCGACCUGGUCCGAUACUGACGCUGAGGCGCGAAAGCGUGGGGAGCAAACAGG
rnacentral:rRNA from 1 species